CUUACUUGGAUAACUGUGGUAAUUCUAGAGCUAAUACAUGCACCAAAACUUCCGAUCGCAAGAGAGGAGUGCAUUUGUUCGCCACAAAACCAAGCGCCCUCGGGCGUCACACAGUGCUGACCCAGAACAACUCAGCUGAUCGCACGGUCUUGCACCGGCGACGUGUCUUUCAAGUGUCUGCCUUAUCAACUUUCGAUGGUAGUGUACCUGACUACCAUGGUUGUGACGGGUAACGGAGGAUCAGGGUUCGACUCCGGAGAAGGGGCCUGAGAAAUGGCCACUACGUCUAAGGAUGGCAGCAGGCGCGCAAAUUACCCACUCUCGACUCGAGGAGGUAGUGACGAGAAAUAACAAGACCGUUCUCACAUGAGGCCGGUCAUUGGAAUGGGUACAAUUUAAACCCUUUAACGAGUAUCUAUGAGAGGGCAAGUCUGGUGCCAGCAGCCGCGGUAAUUCCAGCUCUCAAAAUGCAUAGAAUCAUUGCUGCGGUUAAAAAGCUCGUAGUUGGAUCUGUGCUGGCCGCCCGGUCUGCCCGUUGGGUAUGCACUGGAGCGGUCGGCUUUUGCUGCCGGUUUACGCCCGGCGUUGGCCUUCACCGGUCGGCGUCGGUGGGCCGGCGAGUUUACUUUGAACAAAUCAGAGUGCUUCAAACAGGCGUCUCGCCUGAAUGUUCGUGCAUGGAAUAAUGGAAGAGGAUCACGGUCCGAUUUUAUUGGUUUUGCUGACCGAGAUAAUGGGUAACAGAGACAAACGGGCCAUUCGUAUUGCUGCGUGAGAGGUGAAAUUCUUGAACCGUAGCAAGACGGACUACAGCGAAAGCAUUUGGCAAGAAUGUCUUCAUUAAUCAAGAACGAAAGUCAGAGGUUCGAAGGCGAUCAGAUACCGCCCUAGUUCUGACCGUAAACGAUGCCAACUAGCGAUCCGCCGGCGGAUUCAUUCGCCCUGGUGGGGAGCUUCCCGGAAACGAAAGUCUUCCGGUUCCGGGGGAAGUAUGGUUGCAAAGCUGAAACUUAAAGGAAUUGACGGAAGGGCACCACCAGGAGUGGAGCCUGCGGCUUAAUUUGACUCAACACGGGGAAACUCACCCGGCCCGGACACCGUGAGGAUUGACAGAUUGAUAGCUUUUUCAUGAUUCGGUGGAUGGUGGUGCAUGGCCGUUCUUAGUUCGUGGAGCGAUUUGUCUGGUUUAUUCCGAUAACGAGCGAGACUCUGGCCUACUAAAUAGUUGGUGCAUUGCCUCUGUGCACACGACUUCUUAGAGGGAUUUUCGGUGUUCAGCCGCACGAAAUUGAGCAAUAACAGGUCUGUGAUGCCCUUAGAUGUCCGGGGCUGCACGCGCGCUACACUGGCAAAAUCAGCGUGCUUGUCCUCGCCCGAAAGGGCUUGGUAAACCCGUGAAAAUUUGCCGUGAUUGGGAUCGGACAUUGCAAUUAUUGUCCGUGAACGAGGAAUUCCUUGUAGGGGCGAGUCAUCAACUCGCUCUGAAUACGUCCCUGCCCUUUGUACACACCGCCCGUCGCUGCCCGGGACUGAGCCAUUUCGAGAAACUCGGGGACG
rnacentral:rRNA from 1 species